rnacentral:rRNA from 1 species
GACAGAGGGUGCAAACGUUGUUCGGAAUUACUGGGCGUAAAGCGCGUGUAGGCGGUCAUGUAAGUCGGAUGUGAAAGCCCGGGGCUCAACCCCGGAAGUGCAUUCGAAACUGCAAGACUGGAGUCUCGGAGAGGGUCGCGGAAUUCUGGGUGUAGAGGUGAAAUUCGUAGAUAUCCAGAGGAACACCAGUGGCGAAGGCGGCGACCUGGACGAGUACUGACGCUGAGACGCGAAAGCGUGGGGAGCAAACAGGAUUAGAUACCCUGGUAGUCCACGCCUUAAACGAUGAGUGCUAGAUGUCGUGGGAUUUGACCCCUGCGGUGUCGUAGCUAACGCAUUAAGCACUCCGCCUGGGGAGUACGGCCGCAAGGCUA